rnacentral:rRNA from 1 species
GUCCACGCCCUAAACGAUGGCAACUAGUUGUUGGGAUUAACAUCCUUAGUAACGCAGCUAACGCGUGAAGUUGCCCGCCUGGGGAGUACGGUCGCAAGAUUAAACUCAAAGGAAUUGACGGGGCCCGCACAAGCGGUGGAUGAUGUGGUUUAAUUCGAUGCAACGCGAAAACCUUAACCUGGGUUUGACAUCUCCUGACAACCGUAGAGAUACGGCUUCUGUAGCAAUACAGCAGGAAGACAGGUGCUGCAUGGCUGUCGU